rnacentral:rRNA from 1 species
AUUGAACGCUGGCGGCAUGCUUUACACAUGCAAGUCGAACGGCGGCGCGGGCUUCGGCCUGGCGGCGAGUGGCGAACGGGUGAGUAAUGCAUCGGAACGUGCCCAGUAGUGGGGGAUAGCACGGCGAAAGCCGGAUUAAUACCGCAUACGACCUGAGGGUGAAAGCGGGGGACCGAAAGGCCUCGCGCUAUGGGAGCGGCCGAUGUCGGAUUGGCUAGUUGGUGGGGUAAAGGCUUACCAAGGCGACGAUCCGUAGCUGGUCUGAGAGGACGACCAGCCACACUGGGACUGAGACACGGCCCAGACUCCUACGGGAGGCAGCAGUGGGGAAUUUUGGACAAUGGGGGCAACCCUGAUCCAGCCAUGCCGCGUGCGGGAAGAAGGCCUUCGGGUUGUAAACCGCUUUUGUUCGGGAAGAAAUCCUCUGGGCUAAUACCCCGGGGGGAUGACGGUACCGGAAGAAUAAGCACCGGCUAACUACGUG